rnacentral:rRNA from 1 species
GUGAGUGGCGAACGGGUGAGUAACACGUGGGCAACCUGCCCUGCACUCUGGGAUAACUUCGGGAAACCGGAGCUAAUACCGGAUGAUAUCUUCCAUCGCAUGGUGGGGGGUUGAAAGUUCCGGCGGUGCAGGAUGGGCCCGCGGCCUAUCAGCUUGUUGGUGGGGUAGUGGCCUACCAAGGCGACGACGGGUAGCCGGCCUGAGAGGGCGACCGGCCACACUGGGACUGAGACACGGCCCAGACUCCUACGGGAGGCAGCAGUGGGGAAUAUUGCGCAAUGGGCGAAAGCCUGACGCAGCGACGCCGCGUGAGGGAUGACGGCCUUCGGGUUGUAAACCUCUUUCAGCAGGGAAGAAGCGGUCGGGUUCUCCCGGGCGUGACGGUACCUGAAGAAGAAGCACCGGCUAACUACGUGCCAGCAGCCGCGGUAAUACGUAGGGUGCGAGCGUUGUCCGGAAUUAUUGGGCGUAAAGAGCUCGUAGGCGGCCUGUCGCGUCGGAUGUGAAAACUCGGGGCUUAACCCCGAGCCUGCAUUCGAUACGGGCAGGCUAGAGUUCGGCAGGGGAGACUGGAAUUCCUGGUGUAGCGGUGAAAUGCGCAGAUAUCAGGAGGAACACCGGUGGCGAAGGCGGGUCUCUGGGCCGAUACUGACGCUGAGGAGCGAAAGCGUGGGGAGCGAACAGGAUUAGAUACCCUGGUAGUCCACGCCGUAAACGUUGGGAACUAGGUGUGGGCGACAUUCCACGUCGUCCGUGCCGCAGCUAACGCAUUAAGUUCCCCGCCUGGGGAGUACGGCCGCAAGGGCUAAAACUC